GCCUUCUUGGCUCAGUUGGUUAGAGCGCAGGUCUCAUAGCAAUAUGAUGUAGAUUACUACGCAAUCCUGAGGUCACAAGUUCGAGCCUUGUAGAGGGCA